GAACGGAGAUUUCAAUGCGUGUGUAGGAACGACCUUCGAUGACCGAUUUCUCAACUGGAAGUUCACGUUGACCCGGUUAUCCUGAUUGCAUUACCAAUACGUAACUAUUCAAAGCUGUUUCGAUUUGAUAAUCAUUUGAUUAUGAAAUCAAUAUUAACACUUUGAUUGCCACGUUAAAACCGUUGUAAAUUCCAUUAAGUAUUACUUUUGUCUUCAAAAUACUUCAUUAUCUAAUACGAGUAUUUCUAAUCAAUUAAGUCAAAGAAUUCCUAAUAAUACGAGUGAUGGACUCCUAUUGAAAUUCAAGCGUCACCCAUACAUGGGUGACGCGGCAGUCAAGGUGUUGAAUAACUUUUAUAAUUUUAUAAUUCUUUUAGAAAGUAAGAACGAUUUCAUUCACCGUGAAAUUGCUCGAUGAAAAUUAUAAUUAAGCGUUAAUCGUGUUUAAACGUACACCUUACGUCACCGUUCGUAACAGAUCGUAAUAGCCAUCAAUUAAACACAGUAGGCGCGGAGCUAUCCAGGAAGAAACGGUGAAUUUAAAAGGAAAGCGAAUACGAUCGCGGUAAUUGAAAUGAUUCUGUGGUCCGACGACUUUCAAGUACCUGGAAGAGUGUUUCUCAAGGUGACCCACUGACUUUAAACAACCUUCUUUCGCACCAGGGAAAAGAAACCUUAAGAAGUGGAAACUGUUAGGAAGAACGCGAGAGAUGACGAUCAAAUGAAGAUGUUCCGUUCGGGAUGAGAGCGUGGAUGAUACCCGACUGCCAUAUUCACUAUCCGGGUCAUAAGUGUGUCUAGGUGUACUACGAAUGGAGAGAAUGGCGAAUCCCUUCUCUCGAAGAAGAUUUUCCCUCUCGUCCGUGUUACAAGACUCUCCUCCGCUGUAUAGGUCAUUGGCGGCGAGUUCAUGGGAGCUCGUGAAAUCAAGGAACAGGAGUGUCUGAGGAUAUCCAACAAUAGUCUGGCAAGACAUGUGUUCCUGGCUUCGAUUCGAUACCUUUCCUUUUUCGCAUCGUUGAAC